rnacentral:misc_RNA from 1 species
GGGGAAAGAGACCAUCUGUAAAUGUAUACCUUGUGCUGGAAUCGGUUAUGUGCAGAAAAUAACACUACGCACGGAUAUUGAUGUAAUGGUGGACUUGGAUGAUAAACCACCUUAGACAAAAGAAUACUUGUACCAUUUUGUUUAAACCAGUAUACAUUAGGAAGCUUUGAGGAGACACGUAACUUCGCAGAAUUGUUCUAUUCUUCGAGGAGCAAACUGUGCGUCCAAUAUUGAACAAAAUUGAUUUGUCAAAUAAUGAACAUAUUCUAUACAUCCGUAGCAGAAUAAAGUAAUUUCGGAGAAAGAGAUGAGACGUCUGGAGCAACUGAACAAGUUGGGCAAGGAUCGUAUUUGUAACUUAGCUUUUUCACUUCAGUUUUUUCCUUCUUGGUUCUGGAAUGGUUUUCAUACAGUCAUACGUUUAGUUGAG